UUGAUGUCAUCGUUGUGGAGUAAAGGAUUGACAGAGUCGAUGGUCCAAGACAUGGUAUUGGUUAUUCUUCUGCCAAUCUUUGCAAUAAUGGUUGGCUUGUAUCAACAAAUACCUCUUGAUUUAUAUAUUUGAUUUGAAUCACCCUCGCCAGUCACCCGUGAAACAUAUAGAACAUGAUUCCACCAAGAAGCAGGAGUAAAUCAAAGCAUUUCUCUGAAGUACUCGAGUGAAGAAGACAACGUUGAUGAGGUACAUGGGCAAAGGAAAUGUGUCUGAGGGUUCAACAUCGUCGUUUUGAUGGUGAUGAUCCACCACCUUCACUUUCAUUUUCACCGCAUCAUUGACCAGACUGCCAGCUCCUCCUACUCUCUUGGUGGUCUGUUGCCAUUAUCGAUAGCUUUUGGACGUCCAUCGGAUACACUCAGUCAAGAGGAUGGCUGCAGCGCGCAUGGACCAAAGCGAAAGGGUUGCGUCAAAUUUUGGGUCGUGGACUAGUAUAAAGGUUGUCCUCAUGUUUCCUUGCUUAGGAAUCCGAUGGCUUUGAGGAUUGUAAAAGUCGGAAGAGGUGUGGUGGGAGUGGAUUUGGAAGGUGAAGGAGGUGUGGUGGCUGCCGCCUCGUUGUAGUCAUACAUAGCUUUCAAUCUAGGUUUGGGCAUGUGGAGAGAGAGAGAGAGAGAGAGAGAGAGAGAGAGAGAGAGAGUAGUAUAUANNNNNNNNNNNNNNNNNNNNGAGAGAGAGAGGUAUGAAUUACCAUUUGACAAAUAAAUAAUGUCAUAAGAGUUAACUACAUACUUUAUUAUCAAGCUUCAGAUUCCGUGUACCAAAAUGUUCAAUUUUUUUGAAUGCAAAUCAAUUGUUUUUGAUUGAAGACACUAAGGUUACAGUAGCCAUUACACAUCAUUCCACUACCAUAUACAGAUAAACAGUAAGUAGUAAGGGAUGCUUACAAUGGAAUGUAUGAUGGAACUACUCACUAAUCGGGUCAUGCUCGCUUGUAGUAAUUGGUCCUAAAAUAAAAUUACAAAGAAAAUAAUAGCAAAUAGACAAAGUUCCAAAAUGCUUGAUUUGUAACUUCAUGUAUAGAAAUUAUUAGUGGCCUUUUUUGGUGUACUUUUAGCAAAAUUUUCUCUUUAUUUAUUGUUUUUUGAAAUGAGGCAUUAGCAAAAAAAAUUGCGUGGUUAUUUCGGAGGGGAAGACUUAAAAUAAGAGCUUUUAUGUCAAGAUUUUUGAGAUCGUCUAUAAGAUAUGGAGCAUAUUUUUCAUGGCUGCUCUUUUGUCAGAUCUAUUUGGAGUAGUGCGAUUCAUAUGCUUGCUCCCUCUUCCUUCCCAUCUUUGGCAGAGUAGAUUGAACAUUUAACGAGUCAAGACCUGUGUCUACUAUUGAGAACUGCUUGGUAGUCUACUGGCAUGUGAAAGGCUCGAAACAACUCCAUCUUCCGCUUUACCCAGCCUUCUCCCAAUUCAGUUCUCUUUGAGGCUGCUUCAGCGAGUUUUGUGUACCGUGUUUUGCUCCUCUUCUGCCGGUGUUGGUCUUGCUCAAUCUCCUCUACCUGCUGAUAUAAUCUGAUGGAUCCCCCAUGCCCUCAACUGGUUAAUUUUGAACUUUGAUGCCUCUGUUAAUGGUUCUUCUACUGUCGUUGGUUUCAUUAUUAAGGCGAGUUGGGGAGCCCCCUAGUGGCUGGAUCUCGGCGCCUUCUUACCACCAAUGUUCCCCUUGCUGAAAGCUCUGCUCUCAAAGAUGGUCUUCUUGCUACUAAAAGAUUCAACUACUCAUCUAUUAUGGUUGAGGGUGUACGUCUCGCUGAUCACAAUCAAUUAUGUCAAAAAAAAGUUUGUGAGACUCCUUGGAGGCUAAUAUUUACUAGGGAUAUUUGGGCGAUUGCUGGCAACUUUAAUCAUAUCACUUUCAAUCAUAUAUUAUGAUCACACGAGAAGCUAAUUUUCUAACGGAUGAUCUAACGGAUUUGGGCCACUCCCUUGAUUCUCCCAAAAUUUAGAUGGUCUUCUACCUCCUCAGACGUCGCAGGCUCUUUGUUGGACUCUUCUAAUUUGAGGCGCCGUAGGGGCUCCUCUUUAAUGUGUUGUACUUUUCUUCUCUGAAAAAAAAAAAAAAAAAAGGGAACUAUGAGUUACAGAAAGCCAUAAAACAGAAAGGAGCAAGUCUAGUUAUUCAUUGACUCUAUGAGUAACCAUAUUGGUAGGUGGGGAGCAUUAUGAUUUAUGAACUAAAGAGCUAGGCCCCUUGGAGGGUUAUUGAAGGUAGUGCUUUCUUUUCUUCCCUUUGAUCGAUCCCCAUGUUUCCACUGUAUACAGCUUUGGAAUCGGAGGUCAUCCUGGCACUCAAAGUCUCAAACUGAAUAUAACCACCAAUUUAUCCCAUGACGUUACAUGAGUGGAGUAACUGUAGAUCAAAACAGAAGAUACAUGAUCCCCCAGCUCCAAGCGGUCCCAAAUAAUGGCCACCACCUAAUUUUGUAGCCCAACCAAUUAAGGUGCCAACUAGCUAGCAAGAGGUGGUUGUUAGCUCAUCUCCUCCCUUUUUCGUGAAGCUAAUCAAGCCUCUUUCUUAUGACAUGGUCAGUGAAUCCUAGCAAACAGUCACAUACAUGUUCAUUGGGUUUGGGGGGGGGGGGGGGGGGGGGGUUGGAUCAGCUGGUUGGUUAGACAUGUCCAUUAUCGAACCGGGUCAGAGAGAAAAGAAUACCUCUAAUUAAUAAGGAACACGGUUAACUUUCGUCGACUCUUAUGAAGCACGACAACGGAAAAGAAAAAUCACAGAAGUUUUGUAUGAUACGGUAAGGAACAUCAGAAAGAGUAAAAGAUGGUAAUAGAUUCAUAUAUACGUACGAGAAUUUCUGAAGCAAAAAUUGCGUAACUAAUUUCUGUACUCUAGGAGUUAAUUAACAUCUAGAGAAUUUACAAAACUGAACAAAAUUUCUACAGUAGUAUUGACAACAUGUACAAAACUACAGGAAAAAUGAUCAAGGUCGAUCGAUUCAUGAUGAUGAUGAUCACGAUCAAUUGACCUCGGGAAUGCUCUGAAGAACAGGCCUCCACGGACGCUGAUGAUCAGCCUCGUAUGGAUCGGUACUACUACUACUAACGCUCAUGAUCAACUGUGCCAAAACCUGCUGUACAGUCAUUUGCUUCAGCUCCACCCUACCCAUCAACUCCUCCAGCUGCUUCUUCGUCAUCUUUAUCUUCACUUCUGUAUUAGCUCCUCCUGCUGGUUGAGCUUUCGUCUUCGGUGAAUCGUAAGAACCAGCAAAUCUACCACCAUCUUCUUCACCUCCAAGAAGCCCUUCCUCUUCUUCUGCUUCUAUCUUCUUCGUCUUCCUCAUAUGCUUGUGAUCUCGAUCAUCAUUCGCCAGAGAACCCCAGUCCUCACCUCCCCAGUUCACCGACGACGAUUCCUCGUGCCUCAUACAAUUCCCCAUGUAUUUCUUUCUUUCUUUCUCUUUGGUUUUGGCUCUAGUGAUGAUAAAAUCUGGGAAUAGAGAGCGAGCUGCGUUGCGGUUUAUAUACAGGAGAGCGGAGAGAGAGAGA
rnacentral:lncRNA from 1 species